CAAUGCAGCGCGCGGCUGACCCAGCUGCUCCGGCUCCUGCCCGGGGUAACCACGGCAACCGCGGGCCGCCAGGAAUGCGCGCUAAUUGAAGGCCGAGUUUCCUCCCACAGUGAUGAGCAACAAGUGAAGCAAAAAUAGGCAGUGAACGGCCGCGAACGACGUCAUUUAUGGUUCAAAAAUCUUAGGGCAAAUUUUUCAGAAAACAACUGUUACGUCAAACCCCCAUCUCUUUGCUGGGCCCCUUUGCUAGAUUCAAGUACGUAGAUGAAUGGAGAUGUAUGUGCACAUACAUAGGUCCCCAGGAACGAAAUGCCAGCUAGCAGCAGGGUUCAGCAGGUGGAGGAGGAGAUAGAAGAAAAAAUAGGAGCGUGACAGGAAAACAAAGGCAAUUCUGUGGGCUUGCAUUCGUGGGGAAGAUUCAAUCCCAAAUGAGCGCCUACUCACAAGGACCUGCUGGGACCAUACCUAUUUCUGGCCUCCUGGAUUAGCAUUGCAUUUGGACCAUAAAGAAGCACAAAUGGAUGAAUCCCCCAAAAUGUUAAUGUUUGUUAUUUGCCUGCCUGACAUUCUUUUCUUCAUUUGGAAACAAAUUGCCAGAGUUUCCUUUAAGAAGUUACUCUUUUUCCCUUUUCCCUUCAGUUCAUAGGUUCAGUUGGGGUUGGGUGGUAGACUACAGUCCUCUCACACACAGGCCACCCCCAACAACAGGACUUUUACUGAAACUAUGGGGAAAAAGGCAUUUUGUCCUCUUGAGAUGGAAGGUGCUAAAGACCAUGGAAGGGUGGAUCUGCUGGGGGCCGUCAUCUCUGCCCCAUGCAGAGAGAUCCUGCCUGAAAAUGAUGCUAACACAGUGAGUGCAGAGCCAGGAGAUGGAGAUGAGGAGACAGAGAUUCUUUAACACAUAAUCUGAAAACCAGGACUUAGCCAUGCUUGAAGCUAGAAAUACCCCCGAUUUAUCUGUUACGUAAAUCAAAUUAUCUGUUACCAGAGUUCCCCUAAGCCAGUUUGAGCCUCUAUCCCUUACAAUAAAAGAGUUCUGAAAAAUACAACA